AUGGGAACGCGAAGAACCUUACCUACUCUUGACAUCCAGAGAACUUUCCAGAGAUGGAUUGGUGCCUUCGGGAACUCUGAGACAGGUGCUGCAUGGCUGUCGUCAGCUCGUGUUGUGAAAUGUUGGGUUAAGUCCCGCAACGAGCGCAACCCGUUAUCCUUUGUUGCCAGCGGUUCGGCCGGGAACUCAAAGGAGACUGCCAGUGAUAAACUGGAGGAAGGUGGGGAUGACGUCAAGUCAUCAUGGCCCUUACGAGUAGGGCUACACACGUGCUACAAUGGCGCAUACAAAGAGAAGCGACCUCGCGAGAGCAAGCGGACCUCAUAAAGUGCGUCGUAGUCCGGAUUGGAGUCUGCAACUCGACUCCAUGAAGUCGGAAUCGCUAGUAAUCGUAGAUCAGAAUGCUACGGUGAAUACGUUCCCGGGUCUUGUACACACCGAGUCGUGGGAGGCAAGGGGCACGACAGGGGGGGGAUA
rnacentral:rRNA from 1 species